rnacentral:rRNA from 1 species
AUUGAACGCUGGCGGCAUGCUUUACACAUGCAAGUCGAACGGUAACAGGUUAAGCUGACGAGUGGCGAACGGGUGAGUAAUGCAUCGGAACGUGCCCGAUCGUGGGGGAUAACGCAGCGAAAGCUGCGCUAAUACCGCAUACGAUCUGAGGAUGAAAGCGGGGGACCGUAAGGCCUCGCGCGAUCGGAGCGGCCGAUGUCAGAUUAGGUAGUUGGUGGGGUAAAGGCCCACCAAGCCGACGAUCUGUAGCUGGUCUGAGAGGACGACCAGCCACACUGGGACUGAGACACGGCCCAGACUCCUACGGGAGGCAGCAGUGGGGAAUUUUGGACAAUGGGCGAAAGCCUGAUCCAGCAAUGCCGCGUGCAGGAAGAAGGCCUUCGGGUUGUAAACAGCUUUUGUACGGAGCGAAGAGGUCCUUUCUAAUACAAGGGGCUCAUGACGGUACCGUAAGAAUAAGCACCGGCUAACUACGUGCCAGCAGCCGCCGUAACAC